rnacentral:rRNA from 1 species
UACGGGGGGGGGCAAGCGUUGUCCGGAAUUAUUGGGCGUAAAGAGCUCGUAGGCGGUCUGUCGCGUCUGCUGUGAAAACUCAGGGCUUAACCCUGAGCUUGCAGUGGGUACGGGCAGACUAGAGUGCGGUAGGGGAGACUGGAAUUCCUGGUGUAGCGGUGAAAUGCGCAGAUAUCAGGAGGAACACCGAUGGCGAAGGCAGAUCUCUGGGCCGUAACUGACGCUGAGGAGCGAAAGCGUGGGGAGCGAACAGG